GCCAACCUUUCAAUUUUUUUUUUUUUUUUAUUUCCAUUCUAUACCCGGGCCUAAGGCAAAAGCUCCAUUUGCAUACCCACAUAAGAAAGAGAAUGCACAUCGUAGCUCUCAAUGCUCAAUAUCUGCACAUUAAGAACAGCAUAGCAAUCAAUGAAAAUUCCAGAUUAAUUCUAAUUUUUCAAGCCAGUGCUUUCUGGCACCCAACUGAAUGUAUCAACAAGCAAGUUGCAGAUAUCUUUGUAAUCCUCAAUAAUAAUAUACUCAUCGGGUGCCUUUUAAUCGACUAAAAAGAUUUACAAAUCAUCAAAAGCUGGGGCUGAAAUUUCAGAUCCUCUCUAAUCUUCAUCAGUCAUAUACUCUAUCCGACAAGACGAACAGCUUCUAGAGAUAUUUUCUUGCAAGUGCACGAACUUUAGUGUCGAAAUGUGAUGAUGUAAUGCGAGAACCUGGCAAGUAGAGGGGAUUGAGAAGAAUCUUUACAUAGAGCUCAUGAACCUCCUGAAAAAAGCUCUU
rnacentral:misc_RNA from 1 species